rnacentral:rRNA from 1 species
UACAGAGGUCUCAAGCGUUGUUCGGAAUCACUGGGCGUAAAGCGUGCGUAGGCUGUUUCGUAAGUCGUGUGUGAAAGGCGCGGGCUCAACCCGCGGACGGCACAUGAUACUGCGAGACUAGAGUAAUGGAGGGGGAACCGGAAUUCUCGGUGUAGCAGUGAAAUGCGUAGAUAUCACGCAGAACUCCGAUCGCGAAGGCAGCCUACCGGCGCGCUACUGACGCUCAUGCACGAAAGCGUGGGUAUCGAACAGG